CUUCAUUAGACAUUGGUGAUCCUUGAAGUCUUAUUUUGAUUCUUUAAUUUGGUAUUUAGGGCAUAUAUUGAAUAAAUCAUAUAAAGAAAAGAAUUUAAGAAGAAUUUUGGUAGUAAAAAGAGAGUUUAGGGCAUCCAUAUAGAUCAAUGGAAAUAGAUGAUGAAAAUCUCCAUUCUUGUUGAUCAAAAAUCAUGACCAAUGGACUUUGAGGAGGCUGCCCGAGGCCAUAAUAGAGAUUAUGGUUAGUUUUUCGAAUUGAUUUGAGCUUUUAAG
rnacentral:lncRNA from 1 species